rnacentral:rRNA from 1 species
AUUGAACGCUGGCGGCAGGCCUAAUACAUGCAAGUCGAACGAGUGGCGGACGGGCGAGUAAUGUCUGGGAAACUGCCUGAUGUAGGGGGAUAACUAGUGGAAACGGUAGCUAAUACCGCAUACCAUCAGAUGUGCCCAGAUGGGAUUAGCUUGCUGGUGGGGUAACGGCCCACCAAGGCGACGAUCCCUAGCUGGUCUGAGAGGAUGACCAGCCACACUGGAACUGAAACACGGUCCAGACUCCUACGUGAGGCAGCAGUGGGGAAUAUUGCACAAUGGGCGCAAGCCUGAGGCAGCCAUGCCGCGUGUAUGAAGAAGGCCUUCGGGUUGGAAAGUACUUUCGGCGGGGAGGCGUUACCCGCAGAAGAAGCACCGGCUAACUCCGUGCCAGCAGCCGCGGUAAUUC